rnacentral:rRNA from 1 species
ACUGCUCAGUAACACGUGGACAACCUACCCUCAGCACGGGGAUAAACCCGGGAAACUGGGUAUAAUACCCGAUAGUUCUGGGAUGCUGGAAUGCUUCCAGGACGAAAGCUCCGGCGACUGAGGAUGGGUCUGCGGCCUAUCAGGUAGUAGUGGGUGUAAUGUACCUACUAGCCUACGACGGGUACGGGUCGUGAGAGCGAGAGCCCGGAGAUGGAUUCUGAGACACGAAUCCAGGCCCUACGGGGUGCAGCAGGCGCGAAAACUCUACAAUGCUGGCAACAGCGAUAAGGGGACCUCGAGUGCCAGGAUACAAUCUUGGCUGUCGUGAUGCCUAAAAAGCAUUGCAUAGCAAGGGCCGGGCAAGACCGGUGCCAGCCGCCGCGGUAACACCGGCGGCUCGAGUGGUAACCGCUAUUAUUGGGUCUAAAGGGUCUGUAGCCGGCCGGAUAAGUCUUUUGGGAAAUCCAGCUGCUUAACAGUUGGGCUUUCAGAAGAUACUGUUCGGCUCGAGGCCGGGAGAGGUGAGAGGUACUUCAGGGGUAGGGGUGAAAUCUUGUAAUCCUUGAAGGACCACCAGUGGCGAAGGCGUCUCACCAGAACGGUCCUGACGGCAAGGGACGAAAGCUAGGGGCACGAACCGGAUUAGAUACCCGGGUAGUCCUAGCCGUAAACGAUACUCGCUAGGUGUCAGCCACGGUGCGACCGUGGUUGGUGCCGUAGGGAAGCCGUGAAGCGAGCCACCUGGGAAGUACGGCCGCAAGGCUGAAACUUAAAGGAAUUGGCGGGGGAGCAC